GACGAACGCUGGCGGCGCGCCUAACACAUGCAAGUCGAACGGAGCUGAGAGAAGCUUGCUUUUCUUAGCUUAGUGGCGAACGGGUGAGUAACGCGUGAGUAACCUGCCCUGGAGUGGGGGACAACAGUUGGAAACGACUGCUAGUACCGCAUAAGCCCACGAUCCGGCAUCGGAUUGAGGGAAAAGGAUUUAUUCGCUUCAGGAUGGACUCGCGUCCAAUUAGCUAGUUGGUGAGGUAACGGCCCACCAAGGCGACGAUUGGUAGCCGGACUGAGAGGUUGAACGGCCACAUUGGGACUGAGACACGGCCCAGACUCCUACGGGAGGCAGCAGUGGGGGAUAUUGCCCAAUGGGGGAAACCCUGAUGCAGCGACGCCGCGUGGAGGAAGAAGGUUUUCGGAUUGUAAACUCCUGUCGUUAGGGACGAUAAUGCCGGUACCUAACAAGAAAGCACCGGCUAACUACGUG
rnacentral:rRNA from 1 species